UUUACGCGCGAUCGCCUUGAGUUGAUCAUGGCUCAGCCUGAACGCUGGCGGCGUGGCUAAGACAUGCAAGUCGUACGGGGCCCGCAAGGGUCCAGUGGCGAACGGGUGAGUAAUGUAUCGCUAACGUGCCCCCGAGUCAGGGAUAGCUGCCCGAAAGGGCAGGUAAUACCUGAUGAGACCACGACCGGGCAUCCGGUUGUGCUCAAAGCAGCAAUGCGCUCAGGGAGCGGGCGAUAUCGUAUCAGCUAGUUGGUGAGGUAACGGCUCACCAAGGCGACGACGCGUAGCCGGACUGAGAGGUUGGCCGGCCACAUUGGGACUGAGACACUGCCCAGACUCCUACGGGGGGCUGCAGUAACGAAUCUUCCGCAAUGCACGAAAGUGUGACGGAGCGACGCCGCGUGUGGGACGAAGUCCUUCGGGAUGUAAACCACUGUCAGGGGUUACCAAGUUCUGAGGAGCCCCAGAGGAAGGCACGGCUAACUCUGUGCCAGCAGCCGCGGUAAGACAGAGGUGCCAAGCGUUAGGCGGAAUCACUGGGCUUAAAGCGUGUGUAGGCGGAUCGUUAAGUACCUUGUGAAAUCCCACGGCUCAACCGUGGAACUGCUGGGUAUACUGGCGAUCUUGAGCCACCUAGGGGCGAGCGGAACAAGCGGUGGAGCGGUGAAAUGCGUAGAUAUCGCUUGGAACGCCAAUGGUGAAACAGCUCGCUGGGGGUGUGCUGACGCUGAGACACGAAAGCCAGGGGAGCGAACGGGAUUAGAUACCCCGGUAGUCCUGGGCCCUAACGAUGUC
rnacentral:rRNA from 1 species